rnacentral:lncRNA from 1 species
UUUUUUUUUUUUGAGCUUUAUCAAGUAUCGGCAGACGAAAAGAUGAGUUAUGUCAAUGUGCCCAUCAUGGAGAAAAUGGACACCUGGUUUGAUGUUUAUAUGAUGGAUGGUGGAGCAAUUGCUUGGGAGACUUUUUGUUUGGACACAUGUCAUAGGUAUGGCAAUAUAAGGCCCAUGGAUAUUGUCAUUGAUUUUAAUAGGCUGCAACAGUGGCCUGAUGUGGAAAGUUAUUUUAAAAAAUCUGAAGAACUUUGUUUUUACCUGUUGCUGAUUAAUCCCUCAUUAAAGGAAGCAUCUUUUGUUUAUUCUUUUGUGGGUGGAGUAAAAUCUGACCUAUAUUCCAUGGUUCGAGCUUCUAAUCCACAUUGACAGACGCUAUGGAGGUGGCUAAACUCCAUGAGAAUACACUAUCAGCUAUCUCUAAAGAGGAAACUACCCUCUAUAGCCCCUCAAAAUUUUAAUAGCCCAUAUUUUUGCUCAUUGACACAAAAUGGCCCUCCGGCCCAAAAAUAUUACAUCUAAUAGUCCGAAAUGUCUAUUUUGUAUAUUUGUUUUAUAGUGACAAUAUAUUUUGUAUAUUUUUUUUGUAGAGUCUAUUUAGUAUAUAUUUUAUAUAAUGACAGUCUAUUUUGUAUAUAUUUUGUAUAUUGACAGCCUAUUGUAUAUAAAUUAUAUGUGACAGUCUGUUUUUGUAUAUUUUGCACAGUAACAGCCUAUUAUAUAUAAAUUGUAUAGUGACAGUCUAUUUUGUAUAAUUCCCUUACACUUCCAUGUUUGCCCAUUAGGAACCCAUUAAAUCUCGUGAACACACACUCCAGACAAACACGACAAAAUUCUUAACCCAUGCGGCCCACAAUCCAAAAAGGCAUUUAAGUUAUAUAAUUUAAUAUAAUUACAUAUAAAUUUUAACCACUUCUGUUAGCGUAAAGAUUGGUGGUUAAAAUUUGCCAAAGAGCAAGAAUUAUCCAACUACUACGAGUUAGUAUAUUGAAGCAUACCCUCAUUUCAGAUGCAUCACAUUCAAAUAAAUUCAUUAAGGAAUUUCGUCGAGGAACUCCGAGGCAUGACAAUGAGGACUGCUCCAAAGUGUACAAACUAACACUCACCAAAACAGUAGGUAGCUAUCAACCUAAGAUUAAUAAAAGAAAAACAUUUCUCGAAGAAAAUUAAAUCUUCCACAAAACUAGAAAACAGAUAUCCGCAGACGAAUUUCAUCGAAAAACUCAUAUGUAAUGACAAACUUCAAAAACGCUGCUUUAGAGUUUUAAAAAAACUCACCAAAACCCCAUUAAAUCUUGUGAACACAAACUCCAGGAAUUCUCAACCCAUGCGGCCCACAAUCCAAAAAGGAAUUUAAAUUCUAUAAAUUAAUAUAAUUACAUAUAAAUUUUAACCAAUGUUGCUAGUGUAAAGAUUGGUCGUUCAAUAAGGAGGUGUCGCUUGCGACGGCGGCGUUCGACAGUGGCUUCUUCGGCUAAGGAAAAUGUAUAUGAUUGCUGAGGGAAAAGGAAGUUAGGGUUUUGACGGGGUGGCCGUUGUUGUGUUCGGUGAGGAUGAACAGAUGGUGUGAUUUGAAUUCUUACCGCGACGGAGGAACGGCAGAGAGAACGGAGGAGGAUGCCAUAGAGAGGGUGAAGAGUGGCAGUGGUCUUGACGCAGUGUUCAAAAUAGCGUGAAGCGAGAAAAAGCGACAACCCCUUUUUCACGAAAAGCGAGAAGCGAAGCGCCCGCUUUUUUGAAGUGAACCGGAAUUUUGUAAAAACAACAACAACAACAACUACCCAGUAUACUCCCACCAGGUGGGGUCUGGGGAGGGUAANNNNNNNNNNNNNNNNNNNNNNNNNNNNNNNNNNNNNNNNNNNNNNNNNNNNNNNNNNNNNNNNNNNNNNNNNNNNNNNNNNNNNNNNNNNNNNNNNNNNNNNNNNNNNNNNNNNNNNNNNNNNNNNNNNNNNNNNNCCAAUCGACCCUCGGCGAGUAGAGUAAAAAUGGGAAAGCUGCAUUAAGAAACAGAGAUAAAAUUAGAAACACAAGCAAGACAAAAUCAAAUAAUAAAGCAAUUUUUAACAAAUAUGGCAUAGAUAAGACAUGUAAUUUUUAACAAAUGUUCAAUACUUGAAUUAAAACACUAAAGAGUAGCAUCAAUUAAAGCACAAAAUGAGCAUCCUAUUCUUCUUCAAGAUUGUUAAAUUCUUGUAUUCCACUAUCAUUAUUGUAUUGCUCGCCAUCUUCUUCAACUUCAUCUUCUUCAUAAUUAGGGAAAAAUUUUCUGGGCAGAAAUUUUCUGGAAAAAAUUCGCCAGCAUUUCAAUGCUUUUUGGAUGUUUAGAAAUAAAAAGAAAAAGAAAAAGAAGAAGAUUGAAAAUAAAAACAUACCAGUUGAAUCUUGAAAUCGUUGGUUUUUUGAGGAAGAAAGGGCUGAUUUAAAGCCCUAGGUUGCUGCUGAAGAAUGAUUACAACAGAGACUCACUCGAUUUUGGGUCUUUUAAUUGAAAAAGACACGUUUGGGCAAUUUAUUCCAAGAAGCGAUCGCUUCUUCCGCUUCUCCCACUUCUCGCUUUUUUGGUAGAAGCGAACGCUUUUAUGUACCUGAGUCGCUUUUGGUAAAGGUAGCGACAGACCCUUCGCUUCGCUUCGCUUCUCGCUUUAAGCGAGGAAGCGGUCGCUUUUCUGAAUACUGGCAGUUGAGCUAGCCUUUAAUUAGCUUUGGGCUAUAAAAUGCAUACUGCACUUUGUGGCUAGCGGCUGAUAUUAGUUUAUAGCGGAUUGCCAUAAAUGAAGUUUCAUCAUUUAUAAAAACAUCCAAGGCCCAAGAAUUUCCACUACCCGACCCAGGACUACUUUUGACCCCAAGCCGAAAAGCCACCCAAAACAUUAAAGCUAUUACAUCAUUGUGGCCCAAAGUCCAUUAAACUUGAAUAAAACACCCUCUUUGGAAACCCUAAGAGAUAAAAAGCUAUGUUAUAGUUGUCAUGAAAAAGGGGCUCCGAUGCAUAAAUGCAAAAGCCCUUAAAACAUUGGAAGGCAGUGAGGAUGAGACUAUAUAGAGGAAGGGAAAAGUUCAGGAGUUAAAGAUGAGUCCCGGGGAAAUAACGAGGAAGAGGAGGAAGCGGUGAUUAGUGUGUUGGAGGGCCAUGUUGAAGCCCAAAUACCGUUAAAAUUGCGGGGCUUUUGAAAAGUGAACCAAUUGUGGCGCUUGUGGACUGUGGAGCCACCCACAGUUUUAUUGAUCCACAAUUAGCAACUUUGUUACAAUUGGAUGUGCAAAAAUUGGACAGACCUAUGAGAGUGCGGGUUGCCAAUGGAGAAGUCUAGGUUACCACAGCCAUAUGCUGUAAGGAUGGAUGGCAGAUGCAAGGAGAGGGUUAAAAAUUAGAAUUCCGUGUGAUGAAGGUUGGUUGAUGUAAUUUGUUGCUCGGCAUGGACUGGAUUGACUUGAUGACACCAAUAAUCUUGCAUACCAGGCCCUGUAGUGUCACUUUAAUGAGAGGCACAAUAAUGGUAACAUUGGUAAGUUAUCAUGAUUCAAUUGGAUUGGGCUAAAACGAUACCAAGCUGAUUGCAGGUUUAUUAUGCCAAGGAGAAUGCAAUUGGGUGGCCCAAACUUGUCAACUGGAAUCGGGAGGGGGGCAACAAUGAACAAAUUCCAGCCCAAGUGGAAAAAUCUUGAAGGAGUUUAAUUUGGUGUUUAGUGAACCAACCACUUUACCCUCGAAAAAACAUGUGAUCAUGCAAUUGAGCUAUUACCAGGUUCUAAACUUGUUAAUCAAAGACCCUAUAGGUAUUCACACGAGCAGAAAGACAACAACAACAACAAAAACACAGUAAAAUCUCACACGUGGGGUCUGGGGAAGGUAGUGUGAACGCAGACCUAACCCCUACCAUAUGAAGGUAGAGAGGUUGUUUCCAAAAAACAAAGAAGUCCGACCUACCGGAUUCGAACUAGUGACCUAAGGAUUUACAGUCCAUCGCUCUACCAACUAAGCUAAGGUCAGUCACACAAGCAGAAAGAUGUAAUAGAAAAGAGUAUCAGUGAAAUGCUGGAUCAGGGACAGUAACUUCAUCUCCCUUUGCAUCUCCAGCUUAUCCUCGUUAAAAAGAAGGAUUCAUCUUGAAGGAUGUGCAUAACUAUAGGAGGCUCAAUGAUACCACAAUUAAAAACAAGUACCUGAUUCCCGUAAUGGAAGACUUGCUUGAUAAGAUAAAUUGAGCUCAAAUUUAUUUAUUUAUUAUAAGGAGUUUCAGCUCAAAUUUAUUCUAAAUUGGACCUAAGAUUUGGGUAUCAUCAAAUAAGGAUAAAGGCGGUUCACGAACACAAAACAACUUUUAAGACGCAUAAUGGGCGGUGGGAGCACACAGUUAUGCCGUUUGGACUUACAAAGGCACCAGCUACCUUUCAGGCCCUAAUGCACUACAUUUUUGGCCCAUAUUUAAGAAAGUUUGUUUUGGUCCUCUUUUGACGAUAUCUUGGCCUACAUUGCUUCAUUAGGAGAACAUAUAGAACACAGCACGGUGUUUAAGUUGUUAAUUGAGCAUCAGCUCUUUGCUAAGCGUUCAAAGUGGUCUAAACCUGUUUGCAUUAAGGGUCUACGAGGGUUCAUUGGCUUAACAGGUUAUUACCGACGCUUCAUUUAAAUUACACCGUGAUUAGCAUGCCUAUUCUUAUUGAAAAGGGAGGUUUCGAGUGGAACGAUGCUGCUACUAAGGCUGGGCCAUGACUCAAGCAUCGGUAUUAGCUCUGCCAAAUUUUACGGAGCUAUUUGUUGUUGUAGUCGACGCCAGUGGACUAGGCGUCGGGGCAGUGCUUUCUCAGCACAAUAGGCUCAUCGCUUUUUUGAGAAGCCUUGAGCCCAAAGCACUUGGGCAUGUCAACAUAUAAGAAAAAUGGGAUCUGAAAUCACUAGUACAGUUCAGUUGCUGCAAUUAAUCCUUUUAUUCCUUUUUUGUUAACCAAGAAGUUUCCAGCUUUGGAACUCCAUGGACAAUGGGCCCCCUCGUCUCCCUUUCUCCACUUAAAUACUAGCGUUCUAUCGUGUGCCGGCUUUGCUGAACCAUAAGCCUUGGGUCCUCAAUUAAUUAAAAGUUUCAUUAAGGGUAAAACUGAAAGUGUAAAGUUAAUUGUUGUCAUUCUAUUCUAAACAUACUAUAAGAAGGGAAAUGUGUCACAUAAAAUUUUAUCAGCAAAGAAAAGGUGAACAAAAACCUGGCCAGCAGCUACUCUUAAGAAGGCUCGUCGGACCCUAGAAUCAGUGGUCUCCGAAACCCUCAUUUGGACCCUCAUCAACUCACCCUCAGUCGUAGAACCCUUUUUAUUCCCACUCACUACUGAGUCCGAAUUCUUCUUCCUCGACUUCAGGCCAAGCGCCUUCUUCACCUUACUCGCCGCCGUCGAUGUCACCGACCUCUGAAAUGAAGGCGAUGACAUCAUCGACGACGAUGAUGAUCUCUCAGAACUGGAAACAAACUUCAACGGUCUGCUGGAGGUGGAGCUACGGCAAUCUCCAACCAGGAUCUCGUAGGCGAUUUCCCGAAGCUCUAAUUCCGUCAAGUCCACAUCAAAUUUGCCAAACGGGUAAGGAAAUUCAUCGUCGAAGUAGGAUGAGGGUAAAAAGGGAAUUUUUGGUUUUUCGUGUAAGUUGUUCGUCGUGCUUUCCUCGUGGUACUUGGUUCUUGAUAGUCUCUGUGCCGUUGCAUCUCUGUGAACAUACGGCACCAUAUCCAUGAAGAACCAAUACAAGAGAUAUCAAAGGUGAAAUUUCUGAGACUCCUCCCUGCCGGAGGUGGAGCUACGGCAAGCUCCGAUCAGGAUCUCGUACGCGGUUUCCCGGAUCUCCGAUUCCGUCAAGUCCACAUCCAAUUCGCCAAAUGGGUAGGGAAAUUCAUUGUCGGAGUAGGAGGAGGGUAAAAAGGGAAUUUUUGGUUUUUCGUGUAAGUUGUUUGCCGUGCUUUCCUCGUGGUACUUAGUUCUUGAUAGUCUCUGUGCCGUUGCAUCUCUGUGAGCAUACGACACCAUAUCCAUGAAGAAUCAAUACAAGAUAUAUCAAAGGUGAAAUUUCUGAGACUCCUCGAAUUGAUCGUUUUUUUUAGCAAAAUGAGGUAAGUCUGAAUAAAACUAUAUAAAAAGAUAGGAUUUUUAAAUUUCUUUUUCUUCUUUUUGUGUUGCUUUUUUUGGAUGAAUUGUAUUCUUGCUUGACUUGAAAGGAAUAGAUAUAUAGGUUUACUUGCUUAGCUUUCUAAAUCAAAAGGCAUGCAUGAAAUUGAGGGGACAAAGGCAGAGAGAGAUAGAGAGAUAUAGAGAGAGUAAAGAAAAUGUUGGGUUUUGAUGAGGAAGGAAGCUUGAGCUUUUCUGGAAGGAGAAUUGUCCACUGCCUACUACUUGGUAAAUGCGCAGAUGCAAGCGCGUUUGGUCAAAGGUUUGUUUAGCCUUUUGAAUAGGCAUUUGGCGAAGGUUCCACACAUGUAUAGAUUGGGGUGUCAGCAGUUAAAAAUGACACGAAAAUAGGACAAUAUGUUACCUUCUUGUACCGAUGAGUGUUUUAAAAGGCAUACGCAUAAUACUUCACGCGGUCGGCGUACCACACGAUCCUAUAGUAUAUAUAAGUGGACGAUACUACUACACAAUCCCAUUUUUAUAUUUCAUAAAUGGUCGGUGUGCCACACGAUCCCAACUCAUAUCUCAUAAGUGGACGGCAUACCAUACGAUCCCAAAUUAUAAUUCAUAGGUGGACGGCGUGCCACACGAUCCCAAUUCGUAUCUCAUAAGUGGACGGCAUUCCACGCAAUCCAUAUUAUAAUUUAUAAGUAGACGGCGUGCCACACGAUCCCAUAUUAUAAUUCAUAAGUGGACAGCGUGCCACACGAUCCCAUAUUAUAAUGAAUAGCACAAAUAAUCUCUCCAAAAGAGGUCUCGUUAGGGAAUUUCAACAACAUAACGAUUAAACCCGGCAAGGGUACAAUUAACAGCUCAAAUAUCCCGGCAAGGGAGAAUACAAUAAUAACAGUCUGCUCAUCUCGGCAAGGGAAUCAUUUCAGCACAUUCUCUUUUAACUCAUUUCCUUCUCAUCUAACACUUUAUAUGGAAUUUAUCAAUUAAACAAGGAAGUUGUGUCACAUCUUUCGAAUUAAAAGCAAUUACGACUCACGGUCAUGCUAGACACCUGUGUCUAGAUAAUCACCAUGCCUAUACACCGUACUCGAUCAUAUUAACAAUUAGCAAUCAAAGCACUCUAAUCCUUUUUCCUCAAGCCAGAAUUAUAUCAAACACUAACCUCGGUCCGAAAAUAGCAGUCAAAUCUCUAACACCACAUUUCCUCUAGAAUUCAACUCCGAAAUAAUGAUAUCUAUGCACAAUUUAGUUCAAUAUUAUCAAUAAUGGCUCACAGAAACAAUUUCAUAGCCUAGAAAUGAAUUUCCUAUCAUUUUUCUAAAAAUACUAAAAUUCGACCCCAAGCCCACAUGGUCCAAACUCGAGGCUCGGACCAAAAUCCAGUCACCCAUAAACCCAGCAGUUCAAAUAUGUAAUUUGUUUUAGGAUUCGACCCCAAAUUGAGGUUGAAUAGCCCAAAUUCCCAAAAGCCCUAAUUCUACCCAGAAGCCCUUAUUUCCACUUUGAUUUGAUGUUUUUAGGCCUAAUAAUUCAAUAAUUAGUGAAGAAAACAAAGGAAUUGGGUGGGGAAUUACUUAUCCAACGAGUCUUGGAAGAGGGGAGCUUCAACUGAGUCCUAAAUCCUAAUGGAGAAGAGAGCUCGUAAGAAGAAGUGAGAAAAUCCCAAAGUGAACAGUUCUAUUUUAAAAAAAAUCACUGAAGGGAAAUUGUGCUAUGCGUCCGCGACACUACGUCGCGUUCGUGAAGAAGGCAGCCGGGUGCACAUCUCGUUGCGAUGGGUUAAUGCGAACGCGUUGAAGGGCCGGGGGUCCAGCUUUGGCUUAUGCGUUCACGAAGGUGAGAAUGCGUACGCGUAUAAGAGGUAGGCAAAGAAGUGCGAACGCGGGGAGCUUCCGCGAAAGCGAAGAAGGCUGGAGGCUGGGCUAUGCGAACGCAAGCCUAGGGCCGCGUUCGUGAAGAACAACUGAUGGUCUGCAACAACAUGAAAUUCUGAUGUAUUUUUCUAAGUGAAAACCACCCCGAACCACCUUCGAAUCACUCCUGAACCCUCGGGGCUCCCGACCAAACACACACUAACUCACCACCAUCCUACGAACUUGCUCGAGCGAUCAAAUCACUAAAAUAAUAUCAAAUUCAAUGAAUCAAACCCCAAACCCAUCAUUUUUAUUUAAAAGUUCAUAAACCUCUAACUUUACAUAUUUAGUUUUGAAACACGCCAAACGACGUCCGAUUUCGAUCAAAUUUCACAAAAAGCACUUAAUGCAUAUUUAAGACAUGUAUCGGGCAUCAGAACCAAAAUACGAGCCCGAUGCCUAUAUUUUCUAACUCGUCUUUAUUUUAAAAUUUCAUAUCAUUUUUAGAAAAAUAAUUUCUUUCGAAAAUUCUAUUCUCGAGCUCGGGCCUCGAAUUUUAAUUUCGGGAAUAUACCCAAGUUCCAUAUUUUUCUAUGGACCUCCCAGGACGUUCACAUCACGGGUUCGGAUCCGUUUACCCAAAAAGUUGGCCAAAGUCAACUUUAUCAAUAUUAAUAUCAAAAUUCUUUAAAUUUUCCACAGAAUUCACAUAUUUUAACAUAGAAAUUUUCCGGCUUCGUGCCCGAACUGCGCACACAAAUCGAGGCAACUAAAAGCAAGAUUUUCAAUGCCUCAAAAGCACAAAAAAUGGCGAAUUAUGGUGAUGACCCUUUGGGUCGUCACAAUUCGCUUCUCUGAAGAUGUGAGUGACCUGAGGCUCGCCCGCUCUAGUUAGCAUCCAUCUGCAAUUUGUAAUCUAAUUUUGAUACAGACUAUUUUCGUUAGUAAUCAUGUUAAUUAAGAGGUUGCAAUCUGUUUCAACCACUAGACGUCUAAUGUUUUGUUGUAUUCCUAUAUUUAGACCUUGUAUAAGAGCUUGGCCUUCCGUGUAAAUAUUUGUAGCGUGAUGGAUAGAUAUGGUAAAGCCUAUAAUCCAAUUAUUGUCCCAGUCUCCGAUAACUCCUCCAAUGCCACCCCUCCCAGAGUUGCUAAGCUAGAUCCAUCUAUGUUUAAUUUAUAAAUUCCCCGAUCAAGUGGCUUCCAUUUUAUGUAUAUUGUCAUAUUGGUUUGGACUUUGGAAAGACUCUGUUAACAACUUAAAUUCCGUUGCACUCGUAGUGAUGUUUUUAAAGGAAUGUGGAGAUUUUUUGUUGUUAAAUAUGAAGUUGUUUCUGUGAGUCUAGAUAUGCCACAUGGUAAAGGGUAGUAUAUCUCCCUUAGAUAAGAAUCUGUUGAAGGGUGAUGUAUUGUGGAAAAGGGGUUUUAACCAGUUAUGUAUUGUGAGCUCAUUGUGAGGUUCAUUCGGGUAUUUGUAAAAGGUUCCCAAUGGAUCCCAAAUAGGUUUUGAGUGCCUACAAUUAAAGAACAUAUGCUCCAUGUCUUCUUCUUCGCUUUGGCAGAUGUUGCAAAUGCUAAAGGUAAUAAUUUUCCUGUUGUGUAACAUUUUAGAGUUGGGUAACCUAUUGUGGACAACUUUCCAGAAGAAGGAUUUUAUUUUGUUUAAGGUAUCGAGCUUCCAUAGCCAUAAAAAGUCAGUCCAAUUACCUACUUCUUGUGACUGGGCUUUGAUGUUGUUAUAGGCAGUCUUUGUCGAGAAUGAGCCAUAAGGACCUUCUGCUUAAGCAAAUUUAUCAACUGUUGGCUCACUUUGUUUAAUAUAAGUGCUAAAAAAUUUACGGAUGGUUUCAGGAAGUUCAAAGGAGAGAGUAUUAAUAUUGAAGGAUCCCUCCGCUAGGAUAGAACUUAGGGUUAGAUUGGAUUCGUUGUGGAGCAGAGGUCCUUAAAUGAGGGAAUGUAAGAGCCCUGAGUCUAUGAUCCAGGUGUCAUGCCAGAGGUUAAUUAUUCCCCAUUCCCUACUUCCCAGUGUAUGCCUUUUCCGCAGACUUCUCCUCCAAUGCAGAUAUUUUUCCAGAUAUGAGUUCCUCAUUUUUUCUCCAUAUUCUUCCAUCUGGAGGGAUUCAUAUUGAUGUUGUAUCUGUUUUGAAGGACUUGAACCCAAAGAGAUUGUUUUUCUCUUGUAAAUUUCCAUGCCAGGGUUGCAUUGAAUGAUUGGUUUUUCCAUUUGCUUUAUAUAACCCGAAACCUCAUUCUUUUUUGUCCCUAGUUACUGUGUUCCAAUUAAUAAGGUAACGCUUUCUUUUUCGGAUGUGCUCCCCUGUAGGAGGUUUCUUUGAAUUGUGUCAAUACUUUUAGUCUUAGAUUUUGGGAGCUAUAUAUUUGCAUGAUAUGGUUAGGGAUUGCUGCAAGAGUGGAUUUAAUUAAGGUGGUCCUACCUAUUGUGGUUAGGAAAUUUACUUUCUAUCCCUGCAGUUUGCUAUUAAGGCUAUCAAUGAUAGGUUGGAAUCUUUUUUGGUUGGGUUUGAGCUCAAGAUUAGGAAUCCUAUGUAUUUCCAUAUUUCAUUCGAGGUUUUCAUUGAUAGACAUUGAUUGAUGUGUUCCUUGGUUCUGGAGGAGGUAUUCUUGGAGAACAUAAUUCUAGACUUGUUGAAAUUAAUGGAUUGACCCGAAUAAAUUACAACUUUCCAGGUUGGCUUCUGCCAUUAAGAUUGAGUCGUCUGCAGAGAACAAAUGAGACAACUGAGGUCCUUUGUUGGAUAGUUUGUUGGGGGUCCAUCUGCACCAAUCAAUUUCAUGGUGUAUAAGUCUAGAUAGCAUUUCCAUGCAGAUUAUAAAAAAGGUAUGGGGAUAGGGGAUCCCCUUGUCUAAUCCCCCUUGUUGGUAUAAAGAAUUUCGUGCUAGACCCGUUUAUAGGAAUAGGAGUUUAAGUAGUCGAGAUAUAGGACAUUAUAAUAUUAAUCAUAUCUUUGAGGAAAUUUAGAGAUAUCAGAGAGAAUCUUACGAAGGACCAUUCUAUUUUGGUGAAGGCUUUCUCCAGGUCUAUAUUAAUUAGUAUUUCCCUUUCUUCAUUGUGAAAUGCUCUUCUUCCUUUUAAGAAGCUUGUUUGGGUCGGGUGUUUUACUUUAUGGAGAAGAGGUUUAAUUCUAUUAACCAAAAUUUUUGUAAUAAUUUUGUAAGUCGCGUUGAAAAGGCUUAUGGGUCUAAGUUAUUUUAUUGUUUUUGGUUUCUUACAUUUUGGGAUUAAACAAAUAUAAGUUUUGUUCAUUUCUUCUGACAUUGAUUUCUUUCUAAAAUUCUCUUUGCAGAAGCUGAUUAAGUCAUUUUUUCUUUCAUUAUAGAACUUUUGGCAGAAGAAAGGGUGUAUGUCGUCCGGUCCUGGUGCUUUAUAGGGCUUAAAGGAGAAGAGUGCCUUCUUAAUUUCCUGUACGUGAGGUUCUAUGGUCAGUGCAGGAUGGUCCCUAAUACUGAGGGUAGUACAGUAAGACAUAGGUUGUUUGUUUAGUUAUGGAAGAGAUAUGACUAAUAUUAAAGAGAUUUUGAAAAAAUUCAGUAAUUAACGGGAUAAUCUCCUUCUGAUCGUAGAACCAGUUACCCACUCAUCUCUAAUUCUAAGGAUUCUAUUUAUUUUUAUGCGCUGCAUUGUGGUAAUGUGGCAAAACUUAGUACUUGCAUCCCCUUCAUUUAGCCAUUGUAAUCUUGACUUAAGCUUUCAGAAUUCCUCUUCUAGUCUUAAUAGACCUUCAAGGGUUUCUGUUAAAGAGGAUUCCAUGUCUCUUAGAAAUUGACUAGUAAAAUAUUUGAGAAUUUCUGAAUCCCAUCGAGCCUAGCCAGCGUAACAUUUUUUUAUGGAAGAUAUUUUCAAAAGUGGUUAUGUUCCAGUUUUUUACUUCUUUUCUAAAGUUUUUAAUAGUCGUUAGAAUAGAGUCAUUGGCAUUCCAAGUUGCUUCUACAAGAGGUUUAAAGGUGGAAUAAGAUAGCCACAUUGAUUCUAUCCUAAAUACUUUAUUAUCUCGGGGUGAACUUUUUCUUAAAUCGAGUUUUAUAGGGCAUUGGUCCGAAUACAGUCUGGUUAAAUGUGUUACUUGGGCUUCAGGGUAUAUAUUGAUCCAGUUGGUGUUAGCCAUAAACCUGUCUAAUAUUUCCAUUAUCUUUGAAGUCUUUCUUUCAUUUGUACAGGUGUAUUUUGGACCCUUUAAUCCUAGGUCUAAGAGUUCGCAAUAGUUAAUACACAUUAUGAAUUUGGAGAUCCUAUUUUUAUUUACAGGUAGUCCUCCAAUUUUUUUAUUUGUCAGUGUCAGUUCAUUGAAGUCCCCCGUGAUUAACCAGGGGCCUUUAAAGGAGUUUGCUACUAUUUUAAGGUUAUUCUAUAGGAUAUUAUUUUCUUCUAAUAAACAACUAGCAUAAAUAACUAAUAAAAGCCAUUGGUGUGGAGAAUUAUUUACCUUUACGAUGGCGUGAAUUUCCUAGUCGGUGCUUGCUACUUGGUCUACUGUCACCUCAGCUUCAUUCCACAUGAUAACCAUUCCACCUGAGUUGCCCUGAGCUGCCACUUGAGUUAUUUUUGUGAACCCAAAAUCUACCAUUAAAGCUUGGUGUUCCGCUAAUUCUAUUUCCAGUAGGGCCACCAAGAAAGAUAUGUUUUAGUCUAACAUUGACCUAAAUAUCCUCCUAAAAUCCUCAUUACCCGCUCCCAUGCAGUUUCAGAUUAUAACACGCAUUGAUCUAUUUAGGGUUUGGGACGUCUCUACAUGUGGCUACCGUGGGGACUCUUGGUAUAGGCUCCCUCAUGCCAUGUUGUCUUGGUUCAUCCAAUGGUGCUCGUAUAGGGUUGGGAUUAUUGUGUCCCAUACUUGUAGAUUUCCCUGGGGCUUUGAAGAAUUCUUAUAUUGAUAGAGAAUUUUCUCAAGUAGUGCGGGCAAUGUAAGAUGUAUCUUUUUUCUCUUCUUUCCUUGAACACCCGCGCCUUUGGUUCCGUUAUCAUGUCUUACUCCACUCGCCUUGCUAAUCUAAUCUAAUGGAAAUUCACAUUAUUCGAACAUUUUCCUUACUGUAGACCACUUUUGUGCAAACUUGGAUAUUCAUUGAGCAUUGUUACAGGGAACAUAACUGUAGACCACUUAUGUAUUUUUUAUAACUUUUUAGAUGUCUUGGCUAUUUAUUUCAAUUGUAUAAAUCUUUAUUUUUCAUGUCAAAUUCAAAAAAAGAUUAAUUAAAACUUUAUUAUUUUUGGACAAGUAAAAAUACUUAGCCUAAAUAAUGUAGUUAUAUCCAAGUGUUACUAUAAAUUUUUUUCAAAAAAAUUAUGUGAAAAAAAAAUUUUUAGAAAGGUAAAAAAAAUUAGUUUUAAAAAACAUGCCACAUAGCUAGAGAAAUCUACGUGGCAGGCAAGUGCGCACACACUUUUUGUCAAUCACCGUUUAGGGGGUAAUGGCCCUUAGAAGGCCAAGUUCAGGGGGGUAAUUAAGAUCGGGUAUAGUUCGGGGAGGAUACUAGUAAUAUGAGCUAAAUUUAGGAGUGAUUUAAGGUAUUUUGCCAUAUAUAAAAGGAUGGAGUCUACUUGCAUAAAUCGCUUCAUAGUUCCCUCCUAUACGUUUGUCUCAGAGAUUUUGGAAGCAUAAAAAAGCGGAAUAGAUGUAGGAUUUGAAUUUUAUAAAUUUUAGAUUUUGGGACAAUGACCUCAAAUGUUAUUAACUGGAUUUUAAUUUUUAUAAAGGGUAAAAUCAAUUUAUAUUGAAUGCUCGAAUGAUAGCAUGACACGUGAAUCUGGAGGUAGACGAAAGAUGAAGUGAGUGGAAACCAAGACUGAGAACAACAGCUUCAGUUGACACCGGAUAGAUCCUGAGGGGAAUACAGUCAACAGAAGCAAACAAAUAUUUGUCACCAACAUUUAAUGAAGAAUAUUCCUCGGUAUUGAAUAUAUAGUUGUUGUAGAGAAUUUUGGCAUUCAUGGCCUGUCAUUACAUAUUCAUCAAUGACUCUCAUUAUUGUCAUUUAAAAGUGGCGCUCUCCAUAUGGCUUAGACAACUACGUAAUUGAAUUGAUCUUUGUAUCUAUUGCUAACUUGUUUGAUUUUUUGUUUAUAGAAAAAUUUGUAAAAAAAAACAAUAGCAGCUAACGAUGUCAACAUCACACAUAACGUUGAGGCGUAAGAAAUCUACCUCAAUACGAGGAUUCAUCAGUGGUACAUGCAACGAGAUGGGUAUAGCAACUCUGGUCCAUGUCGACCGAUAUCCCCAACAUGUACGGGAGACAACUCUUAAUGAUGCUGAGGACGAGCAUGUUGCGAAAACAUUAAGGAUCUUGAGGGAGCAGCAAAAAGGCCAUCAUAUGUCAUCUCUUAAGGAAAGACUGGGCCAUGAUAGAAUUGAUGCAGGCAUAGUCGGGUGCUUCCAAUAAUGUGAAUGGAAGAGGUCAUGUUCCUACUGAUGCUCCCACAAAUCAAACAGCGCAUAGAGUUUAUAACAACACCCCAAGUAGUAAGGUGGGCUUUGAUGGAGCCGGGUGGAUCGACAACGGGUAUGCUAACGACAACAAUGAUCCUUUCAAAAUCGAGCUUAUACGGUUCAUGAGGGAAAUAAACGAGCGGAUGGAUCGAAAUGCGAAAGAGUGCCACACUUGAAUGGACCAAAUUUCGGAUGUACCACCAGUGUUGAUGGGCCCGGACUGGAAGAAUUACACCUAAUUGUCAUUCAAACCGAGCGCAACACUAGAAUUGAUCCUGAAACGGUUCAAAAUAUCUGACAUACUGAAGUAUGAUGGGACUUUGGAGCAUAAUGAGCACAUCACAACUUAUACAACAAUGGUGAAAGUAAACAACUUGGCCCAACAUGAUAUUGAGUCGGUCCUACUAAAUAAAUUCGGGGAAACCCUCACAAGGGGAGACCUUGACAUGGUAUUCACUCUUACCCAAACACUCAAUUGAUUCGUCUGAAUUUCUUGCAGAUUCUUUUAUCAAGGCCCAUACCGGUCAUGAAGGUCCAAACCCAGAAGGAAGACAUAUUUAAAAUUUUGCAACGAGAGUCUGAAUUGCUGCGCGAGUUCGUGAUGAGGUUCUAGAAAGAAAGGAUGUUGUUAUCAAUCGUGCCAGAUGAAUGGACAGCUGAGACAUAUACUGAAGGGUUGAACCCAAGGAGCUUCGAUGCCUCCUAGAAACUGAAAGAAAGCCUGCUUGAGCUUCAAGCAACUACGUGGGUAGAUGUUCAUAACCGUUAUGAAUCAAAUAUAAGGAUAGAAGAUUAUGAGCUCGGGUUCCCGGCAUCAACUAAGGGUAGAGAUCAAGAAAAGAAUAGAAAUAAAUAGAAAGGGGAAUUUGAUGCGGAUUGUCGAAAUACCAAGGACCGAACGGCACCAGAGGGUUCUGGUCAGCGCAUAGGUUCUCCCCCGGUAGAAAAACUUACUGCAUCUGGAACAAUAGGUCAGGUUCUCCGAAUUCCCCUCAGGCUGUUAGAGUAUAAUUUGAAUAUUAGCGUAUUGGAGCUGGUAUCAAUAAUGAGGAACAUCAAGGAAUCCUGGUUCUCAAGGCCAAUGAGACUCGAUUACAGCCAUAGGGAUCCUAAUUUAUGAUGUGAAUAUCAUGGGAAUAAUGGCCGCCGGAGGAUUGGGGACCGCAGACAGUUGCGCAAGUAGGUAGUAACACUAUUAAAAGAUGGUCAUCUCAAGAAAUUCUUAAGUGACAGGGCUAAGAAUAAUUAUGGCCGCACCCGGGACAACGCAGAGCUCUCGAAGGCAGGGGAAGACCCUCCUCGACUAACUAUUAACAUGAUUUUAGGGGGGGGGGUGAACAAAAUCAAUGGUGUAACCUUCUCGAUAGCAAAGAAGACAAAGGUGACGGUGAUUCAUACCAAGAGACUCCAGGUCAUCGCCGAGGACGACAUCAUCUUCACCCUUAACGUUUUCGAUUUCAAGAUUAAGCGCAUUUUUUUACUUAGGAAGUUCAGCCAAUAUCAUUCAAUGGAGAGUGUUGCAACAAGCCAAGUUAACCAAAAGCGUCAUUCCGGCAACAAAACUCCUCGUCAGGUUCAAUUUAGCAAGUGUGACAACCCGAGGGGAGUUUUUGCUACCUAGAAUGCCGAAGGGGUCACGGAGACUAUCUUAUUUGAAGUAGUGGAUGGUGACAUGGGCUACAAUAUAAUUUUUGGCAGACCAUGGCUACAUUAGAUGAAGACCGUACCAUCGACAUCUCACUAACUUCUAAAAUUCCCAAAUCCAUAAGUAAUCAAACAAAUAAGAGUAUAUCAACUGGCAGCAAGGGAGAUGAAUGCGAUAUCGGUUUCUAGUAGUAAAGGGAAGGUCCACGAAGCAUAGCAAAUAGAAGAACCGACACCAGCUCCCUCUUGUGGUCUUCGAGGAAUUUUGUCAUUUUGCUGCCGAUGAAUUUUUUUCCUUUAUCGCAUACGAUCUCAGCAGACAUCCCGAAUCAACAUAUUAUGUGGUCCCAAAUGAAGUGUAUGACUUCUUUUUCUCUGAAUUUUUCAAAGGCAUGUGCUUCAACCCACUUAGAAAAAUAGUCAGUCAUAAACGAAAUAAAUUAAGCUUUACCUGGGGCCGAUGGGAGGGGGCCGAUGAUGUCCAUUCCCCAUUUCAUGAACUACCAUGGAGAUAAGACUGAAUGGAGUUGCUCUCCGAGUUGGUGAAUCAUUGUCGCAUACCUUUGGCUUUUGUUGCAUUUUCGAACAAACUCUUUUGAAUCUUUUCAUAUCGGCCCAAUAGUAUCCUGCUCUAAUGACUUUGUGAACCAAUUACUUGGCAACAAAAUGAUAUUUGUAAGUGCCCUCAUGAAUUUCUCGUAGAACGUAGUGGUGUCUCCUGGUCCCAAACAUAUCUUCAAUGGUCCAUUGAACAUUCUCCUACACAGUUUCCAUCCUUGGCCAAUGUGAACCAUGCGUCCUUUGUGCGUAGAUUCCUUGAUUCCUUAGGAUCUGAUGGAAGCUUCCCGUUCUUUAGGUAUUCGAUAUACAUAUUCCUCCAAUCCCAGGUUAGACUUUUGGAAUUUAUAUUGGCGUGUACAUCUUUGAUUACUGACCUCGAAAGUUGUACGAUAGUCCCCGAACUAAGUUCGUCGUCUUCAUUUGAUGACCCCAAAUUUGCAAGGGCAUCAGCCUCACUAUUUUGUUCUCGAGAUACGUGCUAUAUGGUCCAUUCUACCUGCAGUUUGUCCAAGUACCUCUGGAUUCGAUCUUCUCGAACUUCAAAAGUUAUGUUUACUUGAUUUACCACAAGUUUGGAGUCAUACUUGGCCUCAAUGACCUCUGCUCCCAAGCUCUUAGCUAGCUCGAAACCUGCAAUCAUGGCCUCAUACUCGACCUCAUUGUUUGUUAAUUUUGAAGUUUUGAUAGACUAUCUAAUUGUAUUACAUAUGGGCGACUUCAAAAUGAUGCCUAGCCCGGACCCUUUCACGUUCGAAACAUCGCCUGUGAAGAGGGUCCACACUCCCAUGAUGUACGCGAUUUUAACAAUAGUUCCUUUUUAACCUCGGGUACAAGGUCUGACGUGAAGUCGGCCACGAAAUCUGCCAUGAUUUGAGACUUGAUGGACAUUCGGGGUUGAUACUUGAUAUCGUACCCGCUGAUCUCAACAACCCAUUUGGCUAAUCGACCCGAGAGUUCGGGAUUGUGCAAAAUAUUGCAAACGGGAUAGGUGGUUACAACACAAAUUGAGUGACAUUGAAAGUAUGGUUUUAAUAUCCUAGAGGCACUUAUCAGAGAGAGCGUUAAUUUUUCUAAGUGUGGGUAUCGGGUUUCGGCCUCUCCUAGAGUUUGACUAACAUAAUAAACAUGGAAUUGCGUACCUUUCUCUUCUCGGACUAAGACCCCACUUUCCGGUAUCUCCAAGAUCACUGUGCUCAUAUGCUUUCAAAGUGUGAAGCAAUGGUGGGCUUGAUAGGUAUUGCUUCAGUUCCUCCCAGGCUUGUUGACAUUCCAGGGUCCAUGCAAAAUUGCUUUUCUUCUUGAUCAGUCAGAAGAAAUAGUGGCUCCUAUCUGAGGACCUCGAAAUAAAUCGACCUAGGGAGGCUAUGCGCCUUGUUAACCUUUGUAUACCCUUGACAUUAUUAACCAUUGUGUUGUCUUCGAUUGCCUUGAUUUUAUUGGUGUUGAUCUCGAUCCCCGGAUUUGAUAUUAUAAAGCCAUGGAAACUCGCCCAAUCCGACUUCGAAUGCGUAUUUCUCUGGGUUGAGCUUCAUGUUGUACUUUCUUAGUAUGUCAAAGGUCUCAUGCAAAUAUUUUAAAUGGUCCAUUUCUACCAGGGACUUAACUAACAUAUCCUCAAUAUAAACCUCCAGUGAUUUACCUAUUUGUUCUUCAAACAUCCGAUUUACUAUGCGUUGAUAAGUAGCACCAAUACGUCUUAGUCCAAACGGUAUCACAUCAUAACAAUAUAUGCCGUAUUUAGUGAUGAAUGAAGUCUUUUCCUAUUCCUACGGGUUCAUUUGUAUUUGAUUAUACCCGGAGUAGGUAUCGAGAAAACUAAGGAUCUCAUGGCCAUUCGUGGCAUUGAUCAUAGGAUCGAUAUUCGCUAAAGGAAAGGAAUCUUUAGGGCAUGCCUUGUUUAAAUCUUUAUAGUCUACGCACAUUCUAAAUAUAUUUUCUUUUUUAGGAACUACAACUACGUUUGCUAACCAUUCUGGAUAUUUACCUCUCGAAUGGAUCCUAUAUUGAGAAGUUUUGUCACUUCCUCCUUAAUGAAUGUAUAUUUUACCUCAGACUGGGGCUUUCUCUUUUUUUUUACCAGGCGAAACUUCAGGUCCAAGAUCAGUCGAUGCGUAGUUAUCUCUGGUAGAAUCCAUGUCAUAUUUAGGUGGUACCAAAUAAAACAAUCCAUGUUAUCUAAAAGGAAUUGAAUGAGUUUUUUCCUGAGCUCGGGGGUUAACCUCGUUCCCAAGUAUACCUUUCGAUUGGGCAGAUGCUCGAUCAGUAUGAUUUGUUCCAACUCUUCAACCAUUAACUUCGUUGCAUCAGAAUCAUCAGGCAUUAUGAUGGUUCGAGGUAUCAUAUAAUCAUCAUCAUCGAAUGUUUCCUGCUCCUCCGAUAGGGUCGAGGCCUGUGACUGUAGUUUCUAUUUGACUUCUUGAUUUCCCUUUGACUCAGAUAACUUUGUGGAUGAAAGUACCAAUACCAGUACUACUUUAUCUAUUGCAACAUUUCUUUGGUGGACAGGUUAUUCACCGUACACCGUUUUGAUUCCGAUGUUGGGAACUUCAGGACUUGAUGAAGUGUCAAGGGCAUUGCCCUCGUAUUUUGAGUCCAAUGCCUUUCGACCAGCGUGUUGUACCUCAUGUCACCUUUAAUCACAUAGAACUUUGUUUUUUGGAUUGUACCGACCAUAUUUACUAGCAAAAUGAUUUCCUCUUUGGUGGUUUCACUUGCCAUGUUGAAGUUGUUAAGUACUUGAGUUGACCUACCAUUGAGAGACUGCAGAUCAUGGGCAUUCAAAUUCCAUCUCUGUGUGCAUUUUGCAAAAGACAUGAGGAAGAGUUUAAACAUUUGUUCUUUGAAUGUGUCAUUACCAGUAGUGUUUGGAGGAGAAUUUGUCUAUGGUUGGGACAUGCUAGAANNNNNNNNNNNNNNNNNNNNNNNNNNNNNNNNNNNNNNNNNNNNNNNNNNNNNNNNNNNNNNNNNNNNNNNNNNNNNNNNNNNNNNNNNNNNNNNNNNNNNNNNNNNNNNNNNNNNNNNNNNNNNNNNNNNNNNNNNNNNNNNNNNNNNNNNNNNNNNNNNNNNNNNNNNNNNNNNNNNNNNNNNNNNNNNNNNNNNNNNNNNNNNNNNNNNNNNNNNNNNNNNNNNNNNNNNNNNNNNNNNNNNNNNNNNNNNNNNNNNNNNNNNNNNNNNNNNNNNNNNNNNNNNNNNNNNNNNNNNNNNNNNNNNNNNNNNNNNNNNNNNNNNNNNNNNNNNNNNNNNNNNNNNNNNNNNNNNNNNNNNNNNNNNNNNNNNNNNNNNNNNNNNNNNNNNNNNNNNNNNNNNNNNNNNNNNNNNNNNNNNNNNNNNNNNNNNNNNNNNNNNNNNNNNNNNNNNNNNNNNNNNNNNNNNNNNNNNNNNNNNNNNNNNNNNNNNNNNNNNNNNNNNNNNNNNNNNNNNNNNNNNNNNNNNNNNNNNNNNNNNNNNNNNNNNNNNNNNNNNNNNNNNNNNNNNNNNNNNNNNNNNNNNNNNNNNNNNNNNNNNNNNNNNNNNNNNNNNNNNNNNNNNNNNNNNNNNNNNNNNNNNNNNNNNNNNNNNNNNNNNNNNNNNNNNNNNNNNNNNNNNNNNNNNNUAGGAUAACUUGCAAAAUCUCAAUACAUUUCCUUAGUUGGUUGAGAAUUAGCUACUAGAAUUGCUAUGUAUAUGAUAUGAAUAGUUAGGAACCAAUUUUAACUAGAAGGAUAGAAAUGAGUAGUAGAAGUCCAUACUACUACAUUAGGAUUCAUUGUAUAUUUUUUUGAUAUCAAUACAAAUUGUCAGUUAAGCUAAAAAAAAAGUACUUGAGUUGCAGGCACGAUUUUAUAUUGGAGGCCAAGUCAUUCUACGACCCUUGAUUGAAUAAUGUUUGCCGAGCUACCUGGAUCAAUCAACACAUAUUUAAUUUGAAUUUUAUUCAUAAGGAUAUAUAUUACCAAUGCAUCGUUAUGAGGUUGUUCGAUCCCUUCUACAUCCUAUCAUUGAAAGAAAAUGUUUCUUCUAGUAAGUAGUCUUGUGUUCGCUUUCCCUUGUGAUUAUCACCUUAGAGUGUUUAAAUACAAGUCCUUGAGGAAUAUCGACUCCUCCAACGAUCAUGUGAAUAAUAUGUUGUGGCUCUUCCUACUCAUUAUGUCUGUUUGAAUCUCCGUUUUUGAAGUGGUUCUUGGCUCGAUCACUUAAGAAUUCUCGAAGGUGACCCUCGUUGAAUAGAUGAGCUAUCUCCUCCCUUAAUUGUCUAUAGUCUUUGGUUCUAUGACCAUGGGUACCAUGGUAUUUGCAUACUUGAUUUGGGUUCCUUUGAGCUGGAUCAGUCUGUAAGGGUCUGGGUCAUCUAGUAUCCUUGAUCUAUCAAAUGGCUGAUACAAAACCAUAUGCAUCGAUGUUGAAGUUGUAUUCUGAUAGUCGUAGUGCUCAUGUGGACUCGACAUGUUUAUCGAAGCCACUUUUACUCAUGAUCCCUCGGGAGUUAUGUCCUCGAUAAUUCCUUCGAUUAUUUCGAAUGGGAUUAUAUCUUAGGUUGUUGUUUCUAUGAUCUGCAUUGUACGGUUGGUACUGAUCCAUGUUCGAUCGGGUUUCUCUGUCGAUGUCCCUUUGAAUUCUACUGAUGGGCCUAUUUGGGUAGAGGAAAUCGGAAGGGGUUCCCUAUUGAUUUUCCUCGAUCCUGAUUUUUGACUGGCACCGACUAUGUACAUUGGCCUAGUCCAGGUCAUAGCUGGAUAUUCAAUUAAAUUUUUCUUUAGUUGUUGUGAUGUUAUCGAACUUCGUUCGUUCAAACCUUGAGUAAAAGCUUGAACAACCUAAUCAUCUAUGAUCGGGGGUAGGUCCAUGUGUUCCAUCUGGAAACGGGAUAAGAAUUCCCUCAACAUUUCGUUGUCCUUUUGUUUCACUUUGAAUACGCCCGACUUCCUAGUCACAACAUUUAUUCCUCCGGCGUGUGCCUUCACGAAGGAAUCUACAAUCAUGGUGACGGAAUUGGGAGGCAAAUUGUGGUACCAUAUCAUUGCCCCUUUCAAUAAAGUUUCUCCAUACCUUUUCAAUAGAACAUAUUCAAUCUCAACCAGUUCUAUUCAUUCCUCUUUAUUGCGCAUGUAUAAGAAGUGACGUGCUCAUUAGGGUCGGUUGUUCCAAUGUAUUUGGGAAAUUCUGGCAUGCCGAAUUUUUUAGGGAUGGGCUUUGGAGCUACACUUGGAGGGAAAUUCCUCUGCAUGAACUUCCUCGAAUCCAAACCCUUUAGAAUCGGUGGUGCCCUGGUAUUUGGUCAACCCGAGAGUUGUAUGUUUCUACCUUUUCUUCAUUAGCCAAAAAAAUUUUUUCACUUGAUUCAAUUCGUUUAGUGAGCUCCUCGAGCAUUUUCAUAACCGUUGGGUUAGUCCUGAUUCAUUGGCAUUUGAUAUAUUCGAUACAGGUUUGACUCUAUGAACAACUUCUUGUGAUGUUUCGCUCAAUUAUGUUGGGUGCUCGAUUCAGAUUUUGGAGUUGUGCUAUAUCAGCUUGUUGAGCCUCCAACAUCUCAAAUAUCAUUUGAAGGCUAAUCCCACCUUGUUCACCGCUCUGUGCGUUCUAAUCGACUGCUCAAGCAUCCCAUUAAUGGCAAUAGGGAAAAGGGUCAGAACUGCCCCUAACAUAUUGACUCCAGGUUAAAAAUGCCUCUAUUAACCUAUUUUGAAGAAAAUUCCCCUACGUUAAAAAUGUGGCAUAUUUGUGCCCCUAAGUCUAACAACUGACUGUACUUAUAUUUAAAACGGUAGGGGCAUUUUUUUCAAAAUAGGUUAACAAUAGGGGCAUUUUAAAACUGACUUGUUAGAUUUAGGGGCACAAAUAUGCUACAUUUUUAACGCUACGGGCAUUUUCUUCAAAAUAGGUUAACGGAGGGCAUUUCUAAACUGGCGUCAAUACGUUAGGGGCAGUUAUGACCCUUUUCCGAUGGCAAUAUAGGAGCUGGCAUCGAUUGGGUAUACGGUCGGCAGUCCGCUAGGGUUGAUUGGAGGUAAUUUGUUUCUCGGGGCGACUAUGUUUUCGUUCUCGCCAUGAAGACCAAGGUCGUUGCCUGUGUGAGUGGGUGCUACUUGAGAGGUUGACAUUUUAAUUCCUGAAAUAGAAGAUACUUACGAGAAUAAGCAUAAAGCGAUGUCUGCUAUGAGAAAUAAUACUGAGCAAUCACUAUUAUUCUUAUCCCCAUGAUGGGCGCCAAAGUGUUUACCACUAAAAUUGGAUAACAACUAAACUUAUAACGUGAUUUUAAGGACACGCAAUUUCACUUAAUACCAAUUGAUAAAUGUGAAGAUUAGUGAUAGAAAACAAUAAUAAAGUAAAGCAAACCAGUGUUGAUACGGAAUUCAACCCUCGAGUUAGAAUUCCCUCGAGAUGAUUGAUACCAGAAAAAGUAAAGAUAGAGCAAGUUGAUGAACAAGAGAAUGUAAGCUAAAAAGAGUAUUAUAUUGAUUUGAUACGUGAGAAUCCAACUGCCUUACAAAUGAUUGGAACCCCUUUUUAUAUAGUAGCGGAAUUCUAAUUAUGGUAUAACUCUAAUUACAGAAGAAAAUCUCAUUAUUAGCUCAUUAACCAUCUUAGAUCUAUCCAUUCCGAGAUUUCUGCCAUAAUUUUCGACCAGUCACUGAUAUCUCAUCUUUAUGUAAUUAUGCUAUCUUUGAUCUUGCUCGAUGUCUAUCUCAUUUGGUCUUAAUCACUACCAGCAUCAAUCUGGACAAGUACCUUGAAUCUGAAGUUGGUGCCUUGUCCUCGUGCCUCGGUCUAAUUUAUUACGGGAUCGAUCUUCGAUCCUUCAUAUUAGUCUCGGUAAAUCAGUAAAAUCGAGUGGGUCCAAUUUUAACCGUAUAUACAAAUAUAUAGUUAUUCAUGUAAGAAUAUAUUUGAGAAAUUAUUUAACCAUGAAUUUUAUCAAACGCCAAAAAAAAUGCAUUGAAAAUUAUUUUAGAACGAAAUUGGACACGUAUUGCUCAUUUUAUGACAGGAAUGGAUGCAUUUUAUUUAAAACUCCUUUUGUUUUUUCUUUGUUGGUUUUUGUUAGAGAAGCUACUACUACAUUCAAAUGUUUAGCCCCUUAGAAAAUAUGAUAUUCUCUAGAAUCUAGCUUCUACUAAAAAUUCAAUUUUGACUAAUAAUCGAGAGCAAAAUCUUGCUCACAUAGCCAUACAUGAAACAUCAUCAGCUAAGAUUUCAUUCUGAAAUGUUAGCACGAAUACAUACAUAGAAACUGAGAACCAAAUUAAAAAAAAAAAACACUAAAAUUAUAAUUUAUUCAGGUAACACUCAAUGAAUAAUUGUACUAUCAUAAUUGCUACAAUAUUUCUGAGUAACCCGAAUUAACAUAGACCCAAAUUUUUUUACUUAUACAGUCCAAAAAUUAUACACCAAAUAAAGAAAAAAGGAAAAAGAAGGUGACAACUUUACAUUAACGAGUUACUUACUUUAGUAGAGAAACCCUGCCUUAUUGUAGACCCCAAACUUUGCUUCUUCCUUUAAAUAUCAAACAAUAUGGUAUAGACAAAUUAAAUAUUGGAAAGUUUGCUUGUAGAAUACUUUGACAUUGUCUAGUCACAAAAGAAUGAAUAGUGUUAUAACAUUGUAACAACAAAUUCCGAGUCUGUAAUAUUCAAGAUAAGAAAAUGGCUACAAAUUAGAAAACGUAAUAUGAAGAGUCGACUUGGGUUGCAAUCUCCAAAAUGUCACCAAAUCUGCAAAUGACGUCCUCAGAUUCUUCUCCUCACAAACGUCACUUCAUGGGCUCUUUGCUUGUUCUUGAAAGGACAAUUUGAUGGCCGUCACGAGCAAUAAUUUAAGAUUUAGCUAUGACGAAUGGAAGAUUUGGACUCGCCUCUUGGAUUAUUGACUUGUACUCCAUUGUUAAAUUCGCUUACGAAUGAAGAUCGCCAAUGUAGAAGAAGACUAGAUGCUUCCUUGGAGCUUCUCCAGCUUUUGUCUAACUUGAUGUCUUUCGCUCUGUGUUCCCUUUUGGCCUAAUGUGAGCUAUCUAUUUAUAAUUGUAGAAUAGGGAAGUUGUGAUACCAAAAGCUUUUGCUAUGAUAUGAUUGGCCUAUUUGAAUUAUGAACCUAUCUCAUUUAGCUACACUUAGCUUGCUUUUAUUGGCCAGUUAACUUGAUAUUUCGCUUGAUACGUGGUAAAGUAUUAUUGGACACUUCUUUUGGCUUGGCGCAAUGUAAUUUGAC